rnacentral:lncRNA from 1 species
CAGCGCUCCCCAUCUUGUUGCCCCUCACACAAUGAAUGAACAUUUUACACUGAAACCCCAUUUUGCAGAUGAGGAGACUGAGUCUGUCAAAGAUGCCAGAUUUAGAUCGCCAAGUUGUGCCUUCAACACUGUGCUCUGAAUUAACUCUGUGCUUUAAACACAGGGAUUUAGAAGUUAUCCUCAGCCAAGGGUGAAAGUGGGGAGGGCUGGAGAAGUGUGAGAGGUGAGGGAGGGAAAAUAUGGGGAAUUCAUAGGAAGUGUGUCAUUGGACUGGUACUUGAAAGGCAAGUAGGGUUUUAGCAAGAACUAGAUGGGGCAGNNNNNNNNNNNNNNNNNNNNNNNNNNNNNNNNNNNNNNNNNNNNNNNNNNNNNNNNNNNNNNNNNNNNNNNNNNCAGCUUCUACUAUGAAUUCCUAGAGGUCCAGUCAAGCUCAAGUGUAAGUUGUACAAAAGUGAGAUGCAGAAGCAAAUUCCUAAAGGUGGUUUGAAGGAAUAAGGGGAAAGGAGGCUUUAAUCUAUAAAUAAUUUCUUCACCCCCUCAAAAAAAGUUUUUAAUGUGAUAUAGCAACAGGUGCUUCCCAGGUGGCACUAAUGAUAAAGAAUCCACCUGCCAAAGCAGAAGACACAGAAGAUGCGGGUUGAUCUCCUGGAAUAGGAAAUCACAGCCUGCUCCAGUAUUCUUGCCUGGAAGAUUCCAUGGACAGAGGACCCUGGCAGGCUACAUUCCAUGGGGCCACAAAGAGUCAGACAUGACUACGUGACUGAGCACAUGUGAACACGUGGUGCUUUUGAGUACACAUUACACUAUUCUCUGUGCUUUCUAUAGCUUUAACAUUUAUUUUGAAAGAAAUCCGAUCACUGUCAUUAGAUUUUGGAGAUCUUGUGUUCCAAGCUAAAGACUUGGGAUUUAUUCUGUAGGUGCCUUGUGAAGAGGCCAUUCUGAGCCUUCCCAUUGACUGAGCAUGGCCCAGUUAAAGUGGUACCUUGGGACAAAGUUUCUGAGGGCAGCAUGGAGCGGCACCAGACUGGAGCAGAGGGAGCAUGCAGACACAGCAGCCAUCCACGUGCUUCAUCCAAUGGAGGAAUUGAGAGCCACACCCACUGAGAGGUGCCAGCCAACAACAAAGCACAGGAUGGAGCUGGCCCAGCUCUUGGCAGAUGGAAGUCAGAGGCAGCCAGAUCCGGGGAGGGGCUCCCACUCUGCAGAGCAACGCCCCACUGCUGGGCUAGAAGGUGGCCACCAGUGUCCUGAGCUUACCCGUGAGAAUCUAACAGGGAAAGGCAGGUAGGUGACCCAUGGUGAACACAUCAGGAACCAGGAGGGAUGGAUGGAUAAGGGUAAAGCAGCUUGAGCUGGACAAGAAAACCCAAGGCCCCCUCCCUUCUUCCCAGGUGCUCUGGGAGCAAGGGGAGCUCAGCUACCCUCACAAAGAGGGCUGCCUUCUCUACCGCGGUAGUUCUCCAAAUUAAGCUGGCAUCACAAUGAUCAGGAGGGCGGUUUA